UGAGUUGCUGGGCUGCUUUCCAUAUUCACCCAACUCAUUAAGCAGCUGGAGGCGAGACUCAUAAGUCAAGUUAAAUCAAGUCCCAACUGUUUUGAGGCGUGAUUCCUUUCGAUGCCUACGAUGGUUGAGUCUAACUUUACCAAAAUGAGAUGAAUGCAACUUCAAGUGCAUGCGGCAGUCAGAAGUGCAUUCCCUGACAAUUAAGCUCAUUACAGCGCGAUUGUCAGCGAUUUUUUGUGGCUCGUCCAACCUUAUGGUUGCCGAACUGGCCAGUCGUCCAGGUGGCCUUUAUAUUUUUGAUGAAACCUCAUCCAAGGGCAGGAUGAAAUCUCUACUAGGCAAUAAGAUAAAAAGAGAUACCUGGGGAUUGUUUUUUUAUGAGGCACUGCCAACCAUUGGAUCAAGGCAAAAAGGAGCAGAAUCACGAGAGAGGCCAUACCAAUCCCACGGAAUGUUUCUGGAGCACCUGAAAUCCACAUCACACAAUAUUACUCUACGGUCAUGCCCAGCUCACUUAUGAAUCACUAGCAAUUUAAUAUCUACAAGAGAUAAUUGCAAUAAAAGGCGUGACAAUAGAUGAUGCAAUAAAACCUGGUUUACUGCAAUUCAAACCACACAGUAUAACAGCAUUUUAAUUCAAUGGUUAGCAUGGUAGCUUGCCUUCUAUUACUAUUCACUGUAGCACCCGCCAUUUGCAAAACAGAACACAACUAACAGACCCAAGAGCCGGGCAGCAAUAAAAGAAACUAGCUCUGGGCAUUCUAAAUCACCCAUUGCUCUCCGCAAUUUUGAUCAUUGAUUCUUCUCCCCCUCCGAGAGCCAAUAAAUCCCCAGGGCCCGAUAAUCUACAUCCCAGGGUACUAAAGGAGGUGGCCAUGGAAAUAGUGGAUGCAUUGGUUGUCAUCUUCCAAAGUUCUGUAGAUUC